rnacentral:rRNA from 1 species
UUAAGCGACUAAGCGUACACGGUGGAUGCCCUGGCAGUCAGAGGCGAUGAAGGACGUGCUAAUCUGCGAUAAGCGUCGGUGAGGUGAUAUGAACCGUUAUAACCGGCGAUUUCCGAAUGGGGAAACCCAGUGUGUUUCGACACACUAUCAUUAACUGAAUCCAUAGGUUAAUGAGGCGAACCGGGGGAACUGAAACAUCUAAGUACCCCGAGGAAAAGAAAUCAACCGAGAUUCCCCCAGUAGCGGCGAGCGAACGGGGAGCAGCCCAGAGCCUGAAUCAGUGUGUGUGUUAGUGGAAGCGUCUGGAAAGGCGCGCGAUACAGGGUGACAGCCCCGUACACAAAAAUGCACAUGCUGUGAGCUCGAUGAGUAGGGCGGGACACGUGGUAUCCUGUCUGAAUAUGGGGGGACCAUCCUCCAAGGCUAAAUACUCCUGACUGACCGAUAGUGAACCAGUACCGUGAGGGAAAGGCGAAAAGAACCCCGGCGAGGGGAGUGAAAAAGAACCUGAAACCGUGUACGUACAAGCAGUGGGAGCACCCUUUUGGGUGUGACUGCGUACCUUUUGUAUAAUGGGUCAGCGACUUAUAUUCUGUAGCAAGGUUAACCGAAUAGGGGAGCCGAAGGGAAACCGAGUCUUAACUGGGCGUUAAGUUGCAGGGUAUAGACCCGAAACCCGGUGAUCUAGCCAUGGGCAGGUUGAAGGUUGGGUAACACUAACUGGAGGACCGAACCGACUAAUGUUGAAAAAUUAGCGGAUGACUUGUGGCUGGGGGUGAAAGGCCAAUCAAACCGGGAGAUAGCUGGUUCUCCCCGAAAGCUAUUUAGGUAGCGCCUCGUGAAUUCAUCUCCGGGGGUAGAGCACUGUUUCGGCAAGGGGGUCAUCCCGACUUACCAACCCGAUGCAAACUGCGAAUACCGGAGAAUGUUAUCACGGGAGACACACGGCGGGUGCUAACGUCCGUCGUGAAGAGGGAAACAACCCAGACCGCCAGCUAAGGUCCCAAAGUCAUGGUUAAGUGGGAAACGAUGUGGGAAGGCCCAGACAGCCAGGAUGUUGGCUUAGAAGCAGCCAUCAUUUAAAGAAAGCGUAAUAGCUCACUGGUCGAGUCGGCCUGCGCGGAAGAUGUAACGGGGCUAAACCAUGCACCGAAGCUGCGGCAGCGACGCUUAUGCGUUGUUGGGUAGGGGAGCGUUCUGUAAGCCUGUGAAGGUGUACUGUGAGGUAUGCUGGAGGUAUCAGAAGUGCGAAUGCUGACAUAAGUAACGAUAAAGCGGGUGAAAAGCCCGCUCGCCGGAAGACCAAGGGUUCCUGUCCAACGUUAAUCGGGGCAGGGUGAGUCGACCCCUAAGGCGAGGCCGAAAGGCGUAGUCGAUGGGAAACAGGUUAAUAUUCCUGUACUUGGUGUUACUGCGAAGGGGGGACGGAGAAGGCUAUGUUGGCCGGGCGACGGUUGUCCCGGUUUAAGCGUGUAGGCUGGUUUUCCAGGCAAAUCCGGAAAAUCAAGGCUGAGGCGUGAUGACGAGGCACUACGGUGCUGAAGCAACAAAUGCCCUGCUUCCAGGAAAAGCCUCUAAGCAUCAGGUAACAUCAAAUCGUACCCCAAACCGACACAGGUGGUCAGGUAGAGAAUACCAAGGCGCUUGAGAGAACUCGGGUGAAGGAACUAGGCAAAAUGGUGCCGUAACUUCGGGAGAAGGCACGCUGAUAUGUAGGUGAAGCGACUUGCUCGUGGAGCUGAAAUCAGUCGAAGAUACCAGCUGGCUGCAACUGUUUAUUAAAAACACAGCACUGUGCAAACACGAAAGUGGACGUAUACGGUGUGACGCCUGCCCGGUGCCGGAAGGUUAAUUGAUGGGGUUAGCGGUAACGCGAAGCUCUUGAUCGAAGCCCCGGUAAACGGCGGCCGUAACUAUAACGGUCCUAAGGUAGCGAAAUUCCUUGUCGGGUAAGUUCCGACCUGCACGAAUGGCGUAAUGAUGGCCAGGCUGUCUCCACCCGAGACUCAGUGAAAUUGAACUCGCUGUGAAGAUGCAGUGUACCCGCGGCAAGACGGAAAGACCCCGUGAACCUUUACUAUAGCUUGACACUGAACAUUGAGCCUUGAUGUGUAGGAUAGGUGGGAGGCUUUGAAGUGUGGACGCCAGUCUGCAUGGAGCCGACCUUGAAAUACCACCCUUUAAUGUUUGAUGUUCUAACGUUGGCCCCUGAUCGGGGUUGCGGACAGUGUCUGGUGGGUAGUUUGACUGGGGCGGUCUCCUCCUAAAGAGUAACGGAGGAGCACGAAGGUUGGCUAAUCCUGGUCGGACAUCAGGAGGUUAGUGCAAUGGCAUAAGCCAGCUUGACUGCGAGCGUGACGGCGCGAGCAGGUGCGAAAGCAGGUCAUAGUGAUCCGGUGGUUCUGAAUGGAAGGGCCAUCGCUCAACGGAUAAAAGGUACUCCGGGGAUAACAGGCUGAUACCGCCCAAGAGUUCAUAUCGACGGCGGUGUUUGGCACCUCGAUGUCGGCUCAUCACAUCCUGGGGCUGAAGUAGGUCCCAAGGGUAUGGCUGUUCGCCAUUUAAAGUGGUACGCGAGCUGGGUUUAGAACGUCGUGAGACAGUUCGGUCCCUAUCUGCCGUGGGCG